UUAUUUGCAGCCCACUGUACCUUGUCACAUGGCUACAAAUUACAGUCUGUAUAAGUUUUCACAUGAAACCUAAUAUUCCGCGAACGUAUGAAACAUCCUUGUAGUGUAUUCUUGAUAACAUUUAAUGAAUGAUUUCCUUACGUGUCAUCGCCGGAUCCUAAAAUGUCCACUUACUUAAUAAGUACCGGGUAUCUUUUUAGACUACGUCUUUAUUUCAUGCCAUGUCUACCCGGAGGUAUUCAAAUUCUGUGCUUCUUCUUACAAACAACACUUAGACUUUUGUAUCAACUUCGCAGUAUCAUAGUUUCACAUUAAAAUCAUUCCCUGUACCCGGAUUUAACAAACCGUUGUUGAAAAUAGUUGAAGACAUCAACAUUUAUAAGUAUAUACAUAUUUUAAAGACUAUGUACCUAUACAUAUAGGUCGUGGUCGUAUCUCAUCUCUAUUCUCUUCUUAAAGCCAUUGAUGAGUAUCUCACAUUGUACUAUAUGAAAAGAAGGUCCAACCGUCUAACCCGAUAACAGUAUGUCUGCAACAUCGCCUACACAGUUUGUUCUUUAAUUUAUGAGCAUACGUCAUCAGAACGUAAAUGUUUAGGUAACGCGUUUUCCUGUAGAGCAAUAAGUAAACUUACGUGGGUAUAUGAUAUGAAUAAGUACGUGAAUAGUGCUACUAAAUAUGAGGGGAAGCCCAUUGCAUAGUGUGAAUCAUCAUCGCGUGAUCGUCAACAUGACUCGUUCUAUCAAUUUUGGUGUUUGACUUCGUCAAUCACGUCACGUUCUUCGUCACGACCAUCGUCAAUACGUUGCCAGCUUAGAUUAAGAGGGAGAGUAUAGCACUUGUUCGUUCAUACAAAAAGAGAAAACGUUUUACUUCCUCUAAAUAUUAUCCAAUCUCCAUGAUUUUUUAGUAUGUUAUUGACACAAGGAAUAACUAGGUUUAUAGCUUUUUCUUUUUUCAAUAUUGUUUAUAGAUUAAAACUUAUAGGCACCUCAAAUAACGUAAUUUUUGUGUGUUGAAUCAAGCCGUUCGUUGAACAAUAACAAUGUAUUUUUUU